rnacentral:lncRNA from 1 species
AGAGAGAGAGAGAGAGAGAGAGUAUGUGUAUACAAGAGAGAAGUGAGAGAGAGAGAGUUUGUAUAUAUAAGAGAGAAGUGAGAGAGAAAGAUAGAGAGAGAGAGAGAGAGUAUGUGUAUACAAGAGAGAAGUGAGAGAGAGAGUAUGUCGUUACAAGAGAGAAGUGAAAGAGAGAGAGAGAGAGAGAGAGAGAGAGAGAGAGAGUAUAUGCAUACAAGAGAGAAGUAAGAGAGAGAAAGAGAGAGAGUAUGUGUAUAGAAGAGAGAAGUGAGAGAGAGAGUCUGUGUAUAGAAGAGAGAAGUGAGAGAGAGAGAGAGUAUGUGUAUAGAAGAGAAAAGUGAGAGAAAAAGAGAAAGAAAGAGUAUGUGUAUACAAGACAGAAGUGAGAGACAGAGAGAGAGAAAGAAAGAGAGACUAUGUGUAUACAAAGGAGAAGUGUGUGAGAGAGAGAUAGAGUAUGUGUAUACAAGAGAGAAGUGAGAGAGAGAGAGAGAGAGAGAGUGUAUGUGUAUACAAGAGAGAAGUGAAAGAGAGAGAGAAAGAGAGAGAGAGAGAGUAUGUGUAUAUAAGAGAGAAGUGAGAGAGAAAGAGAGAGUAUGUGUAUACAAGAGAGAAGUGAAAGAGAGAGAAAAAGAGAGUGAGAGAGAGAGUAUGUGUAUAUAAGAGAGAAGUGAGAGAGAAAGAGAGAGUAUGUGUAUACAAGAGAGAAGUGAGAGAGAAAGAGAGAGAGAGAGAGAGUAUGUGUAUAUAAGAGAGAAGUGAGAGAGAAAGAGAGAGUAUGUGUAUACAAGAGAGAAGUGAGAGAGAGAGAGAGAGAGAGAGAGUAUGUCUAUACAAGAGAGAAGUGAGAGAGAAAGAGAGAGAGAGAGAGAGAGAGAGAGAAAGAAAGAGAGAGAGUAUGUAUAUACAAGAGAGAAGUGAGAGAGAGAGAGACAGAGUAUGUGUAUACAAGAGAGAAGUGAGAGAGAGAGAGUUUGUGUAUAUUAGAGAGAAGUGAAAGAGAAAGAGAGAGAGAGAGUAUGUGUAUACGAGAGAGAGUAUGUGUAUACAAGAGAGAAGUAAGAGAGAAAGAGAGAGAGAAAAAAAGAGAAGUAAGAGAGAGAGAGAGAGAGAGUUUGUAUAUAUAAGAGAGAAGUGAGAAAGAAAGAGAGAGAGAGAGAGAGAAAGAGUAUGUGUAUAUAAGAGAGAAGUGAGAGAGACAGUAUGUCUUUACAAGAGAGAAGUGAAAGAGAGAGCUAAAAAGAGAGAAAGAGAGAGUAUAUGCAUACAAGAGAGAAGUAAGAGAGAGAGAGAGAGAGAGUAUGUGUAUAGAAGAGAGAAGAGAAAAAGAGAGUAUGUGUAUAGAAGAGAGAAGUGACAGAGAAAGAGUAUGUGUAUAGAAGAGAGAAGUGAGAGAGAAAGAGAGUAUGUGUAUAGAAGAGAGAAGUGAGAGAGAAAGAGAGUAUGUGUAUAGAAGAGAGAAGUGACAGAGAAAGAGUAUGUGUAUAGAAGAGAGAAGUGAGAGAGAAAGAGAGAGAGAGAGUAUGUGUAUACCAGAGAGAAUUGAAAGAGAGAGAGUAUGUAUAUAGAAGAGGGAAGUGAGAGAGAGAGAGAGAGAGAGAGAGAGAGAAAGAGUAUGUAUAUAUAAGAGAGAAGUGAGAGAGAGAGUAUGUCUUUACAAGAGAGAAGUGAAAGAGAGAGAGAAAGAGAGAGAGAGAGUAUAUGCAUACAAGAGAGAAGUAAGAGAGAGAGAGAGAGGGAGAGUAUAAUAUGUGUAUACAAGAGAGAAGUGAGAGAGAGAGAGAGAGAGAGAGUAUGUGUAUACAAGAGAGAAGUGAGAGAGAGAGAGUUUGUAUAUAUAAGAGAGAAGUGAGAGAGAAAGAUAGAGAGAGAGAGAGAGAGUAUGUGUAUACAAGAGAGAAGUGAGAGAGAGAGUAUGUCGUUACAAGAGAGAAGUGAAAGAGAGAGAGAGAGAGAGAGAGAGAGAGAGAGAGAGUAUAUGCAUACAAGAGAGAAGUAAGAGAGAGAAAGAGAGAGAGUAUGUGUAUAGAAGAGAGAAGUGAGAGAGAGAGUCUGUGUAUAGAAGAGAGAAGUGAGAGAGAGAGAGAGUAUGUGUAUAGAAGAGAAAAGUGAGAGAAAAAGAGAAAGAAAGAGUAUGUGUAUACAAGACAGAAGUGAGAGACAGAGAGAGAGAAAGAAAGAGAGACUAUG